ACACUGACGUCGCGACGCAUAUCAAUAAGCGGAGGAAAAGAGACUAACAAGGAUUCCCUUAGUAACGGCGAGUGAAGCGGGAAGAGCUCAAAUUUGAAAUCUUCAAGGGUUCUACCUUUACGAAUUGUAGUUUAUAGAAGUGUUUUCUGUUAGUGGAGUUCGGCUAAAAGUUCUUUGGAAUAGGACAUCAUAGAGGGUGAGAAUCCCGUAUUUGAUCCUUUACUUCAGCUUUGUGAUACACUUUCAAAGAGUCGGAUUGUUUGGGAAUGCAGUCCAAAAUGGGUGGUAAAUUUCAUCUAAAGCUAAAUAUUGGCGAGAGACCGAUAGCGAACAAGUACCGUGAGGGAAAGAUGAAAAGAACUUUGAAAAGAGAGUUAAACAGUACGUGAAAUUGUCAAAAGGGAAGCGUUUGACACCAGUGUUGUUUUUCUGAAAAUCAAUUAAAGAACUGUUUAUGCUAAGUUGUUUAGACUUUAUCAGCUAUCUGUUUAGUUUUGAGCUUUUCUUUAAUGCACUUUUCAGUUAACAAGUCAACAUCAAUUUCUUUUGCUGUAAAAAAGCUUGAGGAAGGUGGCUUGAGAUUCGUCUUAAGUGUUUAUAACCUCUUGCCUAUGCAGUCGGAGAGACUGAGGUCUGCAGCGUAGAUCCUUCGGGGCUAAAUGCAGUUUGUGCUAAGUUAUAGCAUUUUAUAGACAACUUGUUGACUAUGAUUUGUCUUGUAGCUUACUCAGCUUAUGUUAUUUUACCUACGCUUAGGAUGUUGAUGUGAUACUGCGAGC
rnacentral:rRNA from 1 species